rnacentral:rRNA from 1 species
UACGUAGGGGGCGAGCGUUGUCCGAAGUUACUGGGCGUAAAGCGCGCGUAGGCGGUUCUUUAAGUCUGGGGUGAAAGGUUCAGCGCUCAACGUGAACAGUGCCUUGGAUACUGGGGGACUUGAGUGUGGGAGAGGGCAGUGGAAUUCCUGGUGUAGCGGUGAAAUGCGUAGAUAUCAGGAGGAACACCGAUGGCGAAGGCAGGCUGCCCUGGCCUAACACUGACGCUGACGGUGAGCGAAAGACGUGGGGAGCGAACAGG